rnacentral:rRNA from 1 species
UACGGGGGGGGCUAGCGUUGUUCGGAAUUACUGGGCGUAAAGGGCUCGUAGGUGGCCAACUAAGUCAGACGUGAAAUCCCCGGGCUCAACCUGGGAACUGCAUUUGUGACUGCAUCGCUGGAGUACGGCAGAGGGGGAUGGAAUUCCGCGUGUAACAGUGAAAUGCGUAGAUAUGCGGAGGAACACCGAUGGCGAAGGCAAUCCCCUGGGCCUGUACUGACGCUCAUGCACGAAAGCGUGGGGAGCAAACAGG